rfam:Myotis lucifugus cont2.10552, whole genome shotgun sequence.
UGUAUCAUCAAAACUGUCUCUGAUAUGUCCUCACCAUAUCAGAGACAGUUUUGAUGAUAUAGA